GCGACACCAGGGACCUGUGUGGCUUCCAGUGAGGAGGGUCAUCAUUGUUCCUCCUCUUGGCAGUCUCUCGUAUAUCGCUGCAAAUGAGUCUCUCAGCUCUUGAAAGGCUGAACUAAAGGGUCACGGAAGAAGAUGCCGCGAUGUUCUACAGAAAGCUGACUGAAGGAGUGACAGAACACCAACUAUACCGCAUAUAAACUCGCUAUGAACUGCUGAACAUAAAGGUGUGAGUCGGAGAAAUCACAUAAAAACAGAUACGGGGCUAGACAAGCUCUGGUGUGCUCUCAGUAACUAGUAAUAAGAGGGUUGGAGUAAACUAGAUAAGUACUGAUGUUCUUUGAGUGAGUAACAACAGGUCGUGUAACAGCAGAAAGUAGGUGGUGUCAUCUCAGUGACUUGUAUCAGCUUGCGUGAGGCUGUGAAGUAGAUUUAAUAAGUAAUCAUGUCUUUUUCAAUUGACUUAGGGUAGAGAAUUGGUUAGAAAUGUAUUGGUAUCCUCGUAAUAACUCAGUAGGUUGUGUUAGAGUAAAAUUGUUAGACUCGAUAAGUUUGUGUCCGUUCAGUAUCUGGUGAUGUGAAGGUUGAAGUUGGCUGGACGAAUGUUUUACCCUUACACAGCCUGCUAUGGGUUAUAAAGCUGAUGAUAAUGCAGGUGUAACUCACUCCAUACUAUAUAACCAUGCGCACGAUAAAUAGCAGUAUCAUUACAAUUUCCAGUCAUGAGAACUAUUGUCUUACUUGAGCCACUAGCACUGUUGUAAUGUUAAGAUAAAUUCUCUCCUGCUUGAGGGGGAAAUGCAGACAGCAGCCGAGUUUUCUUUCAUAGUAAUAUUGUUACAUUAUUAAUCUUCUCAGCAGGUGAUACGCUUUGUUACUUAGCUCUCCCAUUGUUCUUAGCUAUAGUUCAUCUCAGGAAGCUUUCAUUGGCAGCUAUAUGAUAUUAAGCAACGGAUUUCGACAUUAUUUUAGCAUUCAAUAACUCCAUACAUUGUUUUAUGAUAUCUCUGUACGUGCCUUUAUAGUACCAUUUGUAUUCUUUCGUAAUUAUACAUGUCCAGACGAAGUUCCUCUUUUAAUUAUUCACCUGUCGGCACAAUGAGUGAUAAGAAGGCCUACGUGACAUCUUCAGCCAAGUGGAAUGGUGGAAGAUGGAGAAGGUGGGGGGGGCCAGAGUAGGAGGCGGGGGUGAAACAUGACGUAAUCACGCAUAUUCAGUUCACGUAAUUAGAUUUCUGUAAGAUUUCUUCACUAAUACGAAUGGAAAUAUGAAUUCUCCACUUGAAAAAUAUUAGUAAGUAAAUUAAUAAACACCGUAAUCUUGAAAGAACAGCUUGGUGACGAUAAAAAGAGGGACAAAGGGAGGGGAGGAGAAAGGGAGGGUUCCUGCGCCUGAGGACAAACAGCCUAUGCGCGGGCGGUUGGCCACUAAGCGGGGACAAUCCUAGGAGACACGGCAGGAAGAACAUUUUUGUCCCUUAAAAGGCGCCUCGUUCAGCCUGUUUCUAUAUGUGAGUUGUGCAGGAACGCUAGACCAACUUGAUCAGUGUCAGUGUGCGCGGUACAAGCCGUGAGGACUUCUGAAACAAGAAGAAAUGUGCGUGCAUUCUGUUGGUGUGGGUGGCCCGCGCUCCAUGUGGCGGGAAGGAGACGGCUGGGGACUGACCGGCCGCCGUCUCCACCCCGGCACCUGCUUCAUCCUCACUACGACGACGGAGCUACACCUGCCUCGGGUCUCAAGUAAGGUAUGUCAAGUACUG